rnacentral:rRNA from 1 species
GACGAACGCUGGCGGCGUGCUUAAUACAUGCAAGUCGAGGGACGAAACCGAGAUGGGCAACCAUCGAGGCUGAAACCGGCGAACGGGUGAGUAACACGUGGGUAACGCACCCCAGACACAGGAACAACAACGGGAAACCGUUGCUAAUGCCUGAUAACCCCUGCUUGCCGCAUGGCGGGCAGGGCAAAAGCUCCGGCGGUCUGGGACCGGCCCGCGUCCUAUCAGCUUGUUGGUGGGGAAUGGCCUACCAAGGCGAUGACGGGUAGCUGGCGUGAGAGCGUGACCAGCCACACUGGGACUGAGACACGGGCCCAGACUCCUACGGGAGGCAGCAGUAGGGAAUCUUGCACAAUGGGCGCAAGCCUGAUGCAGCGACGCCGCGUGAGGGAUGACGGCCUUGG